rnacentral:rRNA from 1 species
AUUUUCGUGAAUCAUCGAAUCUUUGAACGCACAUUGCGCCCUUGUAUCAAGGCAUGCUGUUUGAGCGUCAUUUCUCUCUCAAACGCAAGGUUGUGUUGAGCGAUAUAGAUAUUCAGUAUCUAUUUGCUGAAAUGGAUUGGCAUGAGUAUUUACAGUAGAUAAAUGCCGUUUGACUCUUCAAUGUAUUAGGUCUAACCAACUCGUUGAAACAGUUAGCGGUAGUAUCUGUGUAAAAGAGGCUCGGCCUUACAACAAUCUACAAAGUUUGACCUCAAAUCAGGUAGGAAUACCCGCUGAACUUAAGCAUAUCAAUAAGCGGAGGAAAAGAAACCAACAGGGAUUGCUUUAGUAACGGCGAGUGAAGCGGCAAAAGCUCAAAUUUGAAAUCUGGCGUCUUCGGCGUCCGAGUUGUAAUUUGAAGAAGGCUACUUUGGAGCUGGAGUUUGUCUAAGUUCCUUGGAACAGGACGUCACAGAGGGUGAGAAUCCCGUGAGAUAAGCUUCCCAGUUCUAUGUAAAGUGCUUUCGAAGAGUCGAGUUGUUUGGGAAUGCAGCUCUAAGUGGGUGGUAAAUUCCAUCUAAAGCUAAAUAUUGGCGAGAGACCGAUAGCGAACAAGUACAGUGAUGGAAAGAUGAAAAGAACUUUGAAAAGAGAGUGAAAAAGUACGUGAAAUUGUUGAAAGGGAAGGGCUUGAGAUCAGACAUGGUAUUUUGUAAACCUUCUCUCUCGUGGAGGGGGCCCCUUGCAGUUUACUGGGCCAGCAUCAGUUUGGGCGGUAGGAUAAUGACUAAGGAAUGUGACUUGCCUUCGGGGAAGUGUUAUAGCCUUGGUUGAUACUGCCAGCCUAGACUGAGGACCGCGUCUUUGACAAGGAUGUUGGCAUAAUGAUCUUAAGCCACCCGUCUUGAAACACGGACCAAGGAGUCUAACGUCUAUGCGAGUGUUUGGGUGUAAAACCCGUACGCGUAAUGAAAGUGAACGUAGGUGAGAGCUCCUAGAGAGUGCAUCAUCGACCGAUCCUGAUGUUCUCGGAUGGAUUUGAGUAAGAGCAUAGCCGUUGGGACCCGAAAGAUGGUGAACUAUACCUGAAUAGGGUGAAGCCAGAGGAAACUCUGGUGGAGGCUCGUAGCGGUUCUGACGUGCAAAUCGAUCGUCGAAUUUGGGUAUAGGGCGAAAGACUAAUCGAA